rnacentral:rRNA from 1 species
UACAGAGGUCCCGAGCGUUGUUCGGAUUCAUUGGGCGUAAGGGGUGCGUAGGCGGUCUGCUAAGUUUGGUGUGAAAUCCCGGGGCUCAACCCUGGAAUGGCAUUGAAUACUGGCGGACUAGAGUACCGGAGAGGAAACUGGAAUUUACGGUGUAGCAGUGAAAUGCGUAGAGAUCGUAAGGAAGACCAGUGGCGAAGGCGAGUUUCUGGACGGUAACUGACGCUGAGGCACGAAGGCCAGGGGAGCAAACGGG